GGAGUACUCCUUCCGUACAACAAAAGAUGUCUAAAGUUUAUUAAAAUUUGAAUGUAUUUAUACAUGACUUAAUACAUAGAUACAUUCAAAUUUAUUUAAAAUUGAGACAUCUUUUGUUCGACGGAGAAAGUGUAUC
rnacentral:pre_miRNA from 1 species